rnacentral:rRNA from 1 species
CCGAUGUGAAAUCCCUGAGCUUAACUUAGGAAUUGCAUUCGAUACUGGAAAGCUAGAGUAUGGGAGAGGAUGGUAGAAUUCCAGGUGUAGCGGUGAAAUGCGUAGAGAUCUGGAGGAAUACCGAUGGCGAAGGCAGCCAUCUGGCCUAAUACUGACGCUGAGGUACGAAAGCAUGGGGAGCAAACAGGAUUAGAUACCCUGGUAGUCCAUGCCGUAAACGAUGUCUACUAGCCGUUGGGGCCUUUGAGGCUUUAGUGGCGCAGCUAACGCGAUAAGUAGACCGCCUGGGGAGUACGGUCGCAAGACUAAAACUCAAAUGAAUUGACGGGGGCCCGCACAAGCGGUGGAGCAUGUGGUUUAAUUCGAUGCAACGCGAAGAACCUUACCUGGCCUUGACAUACUAAGAACUUUCCAGAGAUGGAUUGGUGCCUUCGGGAACUUAGAUACAGGUGCUGCAUGGCUGUCGUCAGCUCGUGUCGUGAGAUGUUGGGUUAAGUCCCGCAACGAGCGCAACCCUUUUCCUUAUUUGCCAGCGGGUCAUGCCGGGAACUUUAAGGAUACUGCCAGUGACAAACUGGAGGAAGGCGGGGACGACGUCAAGUCAUCAUGGCCCUUACGGCCAGGGCUACACACGUGCUACAAUGGUCGGUACAAAGGGUUGCUACCUCGCGAGAGGAUGCUAAUCUCAAAAAGCCGAUCGUAGUCCGGAUCGCAGUCUGCAACUCGACUGCGUGAAGUCGGAAUCGGCUAGUAAUCGC